GAGUAGUUCAAUUGGUAGAAUAGCGGUCUCCAAAACCGUUGGUUGGGGGUUCGAUUCCCUCCUCG
rnacentral:tRNA from 1 species